rnacentral:lncRNA from 1 species
ACACUUAUAAAUAACUAUUGAAAUUUAUUGAAAUCGGGGAAAAAAAAUCAGCAUUUCUAGGCUGCAAGGAUUUGAAAAUCCGUUCAACUUCAAAAAGGGACAAAACACUUUUGAAGCCACUUCACGAGUCUUACAGAAGUCACAUGGAACACAGUUUCCUCGAACCCAAACAUAGGAACACAGACAUAGCACAGACAUUGUACCUUUCGACGUACAUGAAUUCACCAAAAGCCACCCCAAGAAGUUUAUUUUAGCUCUGCAAGGCAAGC